rnacentral:rRNA from 1 species
AUUGAGCGCUGGCGGCAUGCCUUACACAUGCAAGUCGAACGGCAGCACGGGUGCUUGCACCUGGUGGCGAGUGGCGAACGGGUGAGUAAUAUAUCGGAACGUACCUUAUUGUGGGGGAUAACGCAGCGAAAGCUGUGCUAGUACCGCAUAAUCCCUAAGGGGGAAAGCGGGGGACCGUAAGGCCUCGCGCAAUUAGAGCGGCCGAUACCUGAUUAGCUAGUUGGUGAGGUAAAGGCUCACCAAGGCAACGAUCAGUAGCUGGUCUGAGAGGACGAUCAGCCACACUGGGACUGGGACACGGCCCAGACUCCUACGGGAGGCAGCAGUGGGGAAUUUUGGACAAUGGGGCAACCCUGAUCCAGCAAUGCCGCGUGAGUGAAGAAGGCCUUCGGGUUGUAAAGCUCUUUUGUCAGGGAAGAAACAGCAGCUCUAACACAGUUUGCGAAUGACGGUACCUGAAGAAUAAGCACCGGCUAACUACGUGCCAGCCGCCGCCGUAAAAC